UCUCCGUUGGUGAACCAGCGGAGGGAUCAUUAUCGAGUUUAUAACUCCCAAACCCUAUGUGAACUUACCACUUGUUGCUUCGGCGCGCGCUUCGGCGCCGCCGAGGACACUUAAACUCUUUGUUUUUAUAAGCAUUUCUGAGUGGCCGAAAGGCAAAAUACAAAUGAAUCAAAACUUUCAACAACGGAUCUCUUGGUUCUGGCAUCGAUGAAGAGCGCAGC
rnacentral:misc_RNA from 1 species